rnacentral:rRNA from 1 species
CCGCACAAGCAGCGGAGCGUGUUGGUUUAAUUCGAUGCAACGCGAAGAACCUUACCAGGGUUUGACAUGCUUAAAGUAGGAACUCGAAAGAGGGACGACCUGUAUCCAGUCAGGAGUUUGCACAGGUGCUGCAUGGCUGUCGUCAGCUCGUGCCGUGAGGUGUUAGGUUAAGUCCUGCAACGAGCGCAACCCUCGUCGCUAGUUGUUUUCUCUAGCGAUACUGCCCGUAUAACGUGGAGGAAGGUGGGGAUGACGUCAAGUCAGCAUGGCCCUUACAUCCUGGGCUACACACACGCUACAAUGGGUGAUACAACAGGUUGCAAUAGAGUAAUCUGGAGCCAAUCCCUAAAAUCAUCCUCAGUACGGAUUGCAGGCUGCAACUGCCUGCAUGAAGUUGGAGUUGCUAGUAAACGCAGGUCAGCACGCUGCGUUGAAUACGUUCUCGGGCCUU